CCUACGGGUGGCAGCAGUGGGGAAUAUUGGACAAUGGGGGAAACCCUGAUCCAGCGACGCCGCGUGAGUGAAGAAGUAUUUCGGUACGUAAAGCUCUAUCAGCAGGAAAGAAAAUGACGGUACCUGACUAAGAAGCCCCGGCUAACUACGUGCCAGCAGCCGCGGUAAUACGUAGGGGGCAAGCGUUAUCCGGAUUUACUGGGUGUAAAGGGAGCGUAGACGGCAGCGCAAGUCUGGAGUGAAAUGCCGGGGCUCAACCCCGGAACUGCUCUGGAAACUGUGAAGCUGGAGUGCAGGAGAGGUAAGCGGAAUUCCUGGUGUAGCGGUGAAAUGCGUAGAGAUCAGGAGGAAUACCGGCGGCGAAGGCGGCUUACUGGACUGUAACUGACGUUGAGGCUCGAAGGCGUGGGGAGCAAACAGGAUUAGAUACCCCAGUAGUC
rnacentral:rRNA from 1 species